CGCAGGGCAACAUCAAGGAGAGAUGCUUUCGCAUCCGGGGGGUUAGCCGCGCCCUGGUUCAUGACGUACCGGAUGCAGAAAUAUUCUUGUUUUUUAGCAUUGUAGCAUCAUAAGAGAGAGGUCACAGCCCUCCUUCUCCAGCAAAAAAUAAUAACAUAAAACUGCUAAAAAAAAAACGCUUGAGGCGGCGUUUUGAAAAGAGAAAACUUAAUUUUUUUUAGUACAUGGCAUAAAGAUAAUUAUGAGCAUUUCAUUGAUAUCCAGUCAUUCUUUGUGGAGACACAUUCCUGUUCCCCACUUGUAUUGGAGUGAACGGAGAUGUCUACUUCUGGGCCCCUUGAAUCGAGGGACCCGUCCACAGAACGCUUAAACAGCUGCAUUACCAGGCUUGGCCCCUGAGCACUGGUGGAUUGCGGAAGUAUGCCCUGUUCCUGGGAGUAGGGUAAAAAAAAGCCUUGUAAAUCACGGUUCACACGAGAUCUUCCUUGAAGUCGGAUCUUCAGAUAUUCAUGUCGGCCAUGAGCAUGGAAGAGCCAGACCCCAAGGCUUUGAGAAUGGAGGAAGAAAACCAGUGAAAAGAACGGACCUUGAAAACAUGCAGCAAGCGAUCAAUAAAAAUAUGUAUUCAAUACAA
ensembl:lncRNA